UGGCAAGGGGGGAAACCCCCAUAAAUGGCUUUACAAGCCACCGCUUAACUUCAGCCACCUUACC
rnacentral:tRNA from 1 species